rnacentral:rRNA from 1 species
UACGGGGGGGGGCAAGCGUUGUUCGGAAUUACUGGGCGUAAAGGGCUCGUAGGCGGCCAACUAAGUCAGACGUGAAAUCCCUCGGCUUAACCGGGGAACUGCGUCUGAUACUGGAUGGCUAGAGGUUGGGAGAGGGAUGCGGAAUUCCAGGUGUAGCGGUGAAAUGCGUAGAUAUCUGGAGGAACACCGGUGGCGAAGGCGGCAUCCUGGACCAAUUCUGACGCUGAGGGAGCGAAAGCCAGGGGAGUAAACGGG